rnacentral:rRNA from 1 species
UCGAGAAUCUUCGGCAAUGGGCGCAAGCCUGACCGAGCGACGCCGCGUGGAGGAUGAAGGCCUUCGGGUUGUAAACUCCUGUCGAGGGGGAAGAAGGCCUCGCAAGGGGCUUGACUGAUCCCUGGAGGAAGCACGGGCUAAGUUCGUGCCAGCAGCCGCGGUAAGACGAACCGUGCGAACGUUAUUCGGAAUCACUGGGCUUAAAGCGCGUGUAGGUGGGACGGCACGUCGGUCGCUGAAAGCCCCCGGCUCAACCGGGGAAGUGGCGCCGAUACGACCGGCCUGGAGGGACGUAGGGGGACCUGGAACUUCCGGUGGAGCGGUGAAAUGCGUUGAGAUCGGAAGGAACGCCCGUGGCGAAAGCGAGGUCCUGGACGUUUUCUGACACUGAGACGCGAAAGCCAGGGGAGCGAACG